CCGCCAUUUUCCUUUCAGUCCCGGGGCGACUUCCAUCAGAGGAGGACGUGCGUUCAGUCGCUCUUCUUGAUUUCGCCUAAACACCCCCUACAGCCCCUUCCCCCCCGGUUAUCAUGGCUGCAAUAGAACAUAAUUAAGGUGUCGGGCACCCGGCACGUGAACUAAGAUGGAGUAUUGCUUCAGGGCGGCUCGCUAAAUGGUGCUGUGUGUUGCUGCCCUCCACAGCACCAUUGGCCGCCCUGAAAAUCACGGCAGGGGAACCAGGAACAGGAGCUCAGCAUCACUAAGUUAAGUACCUCACCAUGACACUCUCAUCUUUGUCUUCCUUUCAAAACUUUUUACUUCCCUCUUGAACCCCACCUUCUACUCAACCUCCCCCAUGGUUGUGAGUGAAGUACGCCUGCUGGUGCUGUCCCUGUCCGUCGGUAGGAAGGUGAAUCGUCAUACUGUCCCGACGUCGUAACACCCGGCACGGGGUGAAGGGACUCAUGUAAGGCAGCGGCGGCGCCCUAAGGCGGGGAGGGCUGCGCCGACACCUCCACAGUCGUCUUUGGCGUCUGAUGGCUGGCUAGGGUGGUCUGACUCGCUGUCUGGGUUGUUUGUCACACGCCGGAUUGGGAACUGGAUCUCCAGAGGUGCACAUGUCACAGAGAUGGUAGUAGAAGUACGAGAGAUGAGUGAUGGUGUGGCUGUACAUGUCCUUUCUUAAGCCCUGUUCACAUUGUGCUGACAUCGACUUUUAUGCCCCCCUCUCCUACGAUUUGCGACACUUUCACAUCAAAAUUUCACUCCCAAGACCUCAUGUACCCCAAGUCGCUGGGUUCUCGUGGCCCGGAGUCUGCACAGUGUGACCGGGACUUUAUCUUGCCCUACGACUGUCAUAUAAUAUUGAGUAUAUCUCCCUUUGUGUUGUGGGACGUUGACUAAU